GACGAACGCUGGCGGCGUGCCUAAUACAUGCAAGUUGAGCGCUGAAGGUUGGUACUUGUACCAACUGGAUGAGCAGCGAACGGGUGAGUAACGCGUGGGGAAUCUGCCUUUGAGCGGGGGACAACAUUUGGAAACGAAUGCUAAUACCGCAUAAAAACUUUAAACACAAGUUUUAAGUUUGAAAGAUGCAAUUGCAUCACUCAAAGAUGAUCCCGCGUUGUAUUAGCUAGUUGGUGAGGUACAGGCUCACCAAGGCGAUGAUACAUAGCCGACCUGAGAGGGUGAGCGGCCACAUUGGGACUGAGACACGGCCCAAACUCCUACGGGAGGCAGCAGUAGGGAAUCUUCGGCAAUGGACGAAAGUCUGACCGAGCAACGCCGCGUGAGUGAAGAAGGUUUUCGGAUCGUAAAACUCUGUUGGUAGAGAAGAACGUUGGUGAGAGUGGAAAGCUCAUCAAGUGACGGUAACUACCCAGAAAGGGACGGCUAACUACGUG
rnacentral:rRNA from 1 species